rnacentral:rRNA from 1 species
AUUGAACGCUGGCGGCAUGCCUUACACAUGCAAGUCGAACGGUAACAGGUUAAGCUGACGAGUGGCGAACGGGUGCGUAAAGUAUCGGAACGUACCUUUCAGUGGGGGAUAACGUAGCGAAAGUUACGCUAAUACCGCAUAUUCUGUGAGCAGGAAAGCAGGGGAUCGCAAGACCUUGCGCUGAUUGAGCGGCCGAUAUCAGAUUAGCUAGUUGGUGAGGUAAAGGCUCACCAAGGCGACGAUCUGUAGCGGGUCUGAGAGGAUGAUCCGCCACACGGGAACUGAGACACGGUCCAGACUCCUACGGGAGGCAGCAGUGGGGAAUUUUGGACAAUGGGGGCAACCCUGAUCCAGCCAUGCCGCGUGAGUGAAGAAGGCCUUCGGGUUGUAAAGCUCUUUCGGCCGGGAAGAAAUCGUAUCAGCUAAUACCUGGUGCGGAUGACGGUACCGGCAUAAGAAGCACCGGCUAACUACGUGCCAGCAGCCGCAGUAAGAC